GACGAACGCUGGCGGUGUGCUUAACACAUGCAAGUCGAACGGUAAGGCCCUUUCGGGGGUACACGAGUGGCGAACGGGUGCGUAACACGUGAGUAACCUGCCCUCAUCUCUGGGAUAACAGUCGGAAACGGUUGCUAAUACUGGAUAUGAGCUUGCCAGGCAUCUUGUGGGUUGGAAAGAUUUUUUUUGGUUGGGGAUGGACUCGCGGCCUAUCAGCUUGUUGGUGUGGUAGUGGCUCACCAAGGCUUCGACGGGUAGCCGGCCUGAGAGGGCGACCGGCCACAUUGGAACUGAGAGACGGCCCAAACUCCGACGGGAGGCAGCAGUGGGGAAUAUUGCACAAUGGACGGAAGUCUGAUGCAGCAACGCCGCGUGCGGGAUGACGGCCUUCGGGUUGUAAACCGCUUUCAAUUGUGACGAAGCGUUUUUGUGACGGUAGCAGUAGAAGAAGCACCGGCUAACUACGUG
rnacentral:rRNA from 1 species